AAAUAGUAUGAAGCAAAAAAUUGCCUUUAGUUUCGACCUAAAAUUUAGAUGAAUAAUCCUUACUU